rnacentral:lncRNA from 1 species
ACAGCAGAGUAUCUCCAGUGGUAUUUUAUUCAUAGUUUUCAUCUCAUACCGUUUUGCUGUUUAAUAUGCUCUGCAUUAACAUCAGUGCAGUGGAUGGGAACGGAACUGAUUUCGUUUGGGACCCACAGGAUUAAUCCUUUUCCAGGGAACACCUCUUAAACAUGAAGCCGAUGUGCUGCCCUGUUCCCAUACCUGUGCUGCUGUUUUGGUACCUUCCGAGCAAUGCUGGGGGUAGAAGCCCUUCCCCUGAGGAGGUGCAUAGAGGGUAAGAGUGUGUAGAGGAGGAGUGAGCUGUAGCUUUGUGUGGCAGGUCCCCAUGACUCCUGGUAAGCCAGAUGUAUGGAGCAGAGGGCUGCAUUCCUCUGCUGCUAGAUACUCCAGCAUCCCCACCCUCCAGCUGUUGCCCAGCCCCAGGAAGUCCAUCCCAGCCUUCCUGAAGCUACACCCUAUCCCAAGAAGCAGAGAAGCCUUAAAUGAGCUGCUUCACUGAUGGGAGUCCCAUAGCCCGAUCAGCCAGCUCUGAGUCGCCCCAUGUUGCGCUUCCAGGGUGAAAUUUGAGGGCUCCCAUUUCUCAUUGCAGCUCUCUCCCUCCCAAUUCAUCUGAGAAGGUGCCCUUGGUUUGCCCUUGCUCCUCAGUAUCUCAGAUCUCACACGUUUCCCUGGCACUGAGAUGCCAGCGAUAAUGUCCUGAGACAUCCUUCAGCCUUGGGAAACUGGUGCAGCCCUCAUCGAGUUACAGUCCCUCCUGUGAUCUGGGUUCUAUUUACUCUGGAAUGUGGCAGAGGGGUUAGGACUUGCUGCCUUUGGCUCAUCUCUCUCUCACACCUGUCUCCUGAGUAGGAUGGGGCACUGGUCUGAACUGCUGGCUUAUCCUAUGUAAAUAUAUAGGAGUCCUAAUCUCUCCAGCAGGGUUUGCAUGUGAGUUGGGUUGAUAGAGAUUAUCAAAUCAGAAAGAACCACCCUCUAACUGUGUCCCAUGGGAGAGCUGGGAACUUGGCCAAAACCAGAAUGCACUUCCAGGGGCCAACCAGCCAAAAUCUGAUCAGCUCACGGGGCUUUGAGCCCACGGGCUAAGCCAGCUCAUUUCAUUGUUUCUCUUGCAGCCAUUAAAAAUGAGAGAGACGUUUUUCUUUAUGUAGGUAGCUCCCUGUUCGUAUGACUGAGGCACGGAGCAGACCCUGGAAUAACACAGCCCCGGAUGCUGUAGAAGACCCACUUUGUUGUUCAAUGGUGCCAUGUGCUGUUUUUGCUCUAGGAGCUCUGUGGCUGAGCAUCUCCUCCGGUGGUAUUGCUGCUCUUUAA